GAGUAACUAUGACUCUCUUAGGCACGCCUAGGAGGAAACAGUCACGGGAAGGCACUCGUAGGCUAGUGGGGUGGGCAGUAGUUUGCAUGGCUCACCCUGCGAGACCGUCAAAUUGCGGGAAAGGGGUCGCACAGCCGUCUGGUACCAACCUAUCGGAGAAAUCCUUUAGGGGCCUUGCACAAGGAGGUAAUAAGCCAGCGGACAUGGUCCCAACCUGCAGCCAAGUCCUAACCACCCUUUGAUAAGUCCUUAGCUCAAAAUGGCGAGCUAAGGGUAUAAGGUUGUAUGGAUGCAGUUCACAGACUAGAUGGGGGUCGGGGGUCUUCGGACCCCUUAAGGUAUAGUCGGCCCUUCCCUUAAUGGGGACCUGGGGAGGAGGUGAUGCAACACCAGAACCCUGGGGAGGUCUUCGACCUUUGGAUCCAAGCGUAAGGUAGCCAAAUGCCUCGUCAUCGUACAAAAGAAACGACUCGUCAUCGUAUAAACAGACUCUCGUCAUCGUACAAAGAAACGACUCGUCAUCGUAUAAACAGACUCUCGUCAUCGUACAAAGAAACGACUCGUCAUCGUAUAAACAGACUCUCGUCAUCGUACAUUGUGAUAGCCGAAGGCGUGCUUUGUCCCUGGACGUACCCGAUGACAAGGGGCGAAGGGGAUGAAGUCGUCUUUAGGGUUAAAAUGCAGGAAGGGGAGGGGACCCGCUACUCCGGUGAUGGGGAACCGUUUGACCCGACCAGCAGCCAAGCCUCUUAUCUAGAAUACCUCCUUUAUACCCUUACGUAGGAUUUGAUUGACCGUUCGGGGAACUGGGGGAUUCGGUAAGGCGGAAGGUGCAGAGACUAGAAAGCCCGAAGGCGAAAAGGAUAGUCCACCAGACUUGGGACAGCAGAGACGUGUGGCUUGUCGCUUAGGCGGCAUGGGCCAGUGGCCUCAUAUUGCUCAACCGGUCGAUUAAAAGCAUGGGGGAGCCGUCACCCCCGGUGUUAAUUUGUGACGCGCAUGAAUGGAUUAAUGAGAUUCCCACUGUCCCUACCUACUAUCUAGCGAAACCACAGCCAAGGGAACGGGCUUGGCACAAUUAGCGGGGAAAGAAGACCCUGUUGAGCUUGACUCUAGGCACAGAAGCGAGGUGAUUCUAAAGGUGUAGCAUAGGUGGGAGGGCCCAGCCCGUCCAUGAAAUACCACCACUUUCGGCAUUGCUUUGCUAAUGCUGUAACGAACGAACGACACCCAAGGGGCUUUACGCACCUAGGGUAAGUCAUAUUCUAGCGUUUUCCAGGCACGUACGAUGGUCAAACCCCUCUGGGUGAGUACCUCGAGACCACAAACUGGGCUUCCGGGUCUGGUGCGUGUUGCUCUUGGGGGAACUGGAGGUCGUGCGACUGUCCUCUGCGGGCAUUAAACUGGUACGUAAUCCGUGUAGCAGACACUCUGUGUUGGGGAGUUUGGCUGGGGCGGAAAACUGCUACACGGCAACGGCAGUCUCCUAAGGUCCACUCAGAGACGACAGAAACGUCUCGUAGAGCAUAAAGGCAAAAGUGGGCUUAACUCACGUUUUCAGUAGUAAUGUGAAGCAAGAAAUUGCGGCUUAACGAUCCUUAGCAGCGGGUGCCAGCCCAYGCUUGAGGUGAGAGAAAAGUUACCACAGGGAUUGAUAAAGGUAACGGGGGAGAGAUAGGAGUAGCGAACCAUCCUCCCCUAACAGUUCCAAACGAACACACGAAGGUACGACCGAAAGUGCAUAAGGAGGAUUCUAACUGUGACCUAUGCACUUAGGUACGACCGAACCAACCGACCUAAGCGCACAAGGAGGAUUCAGACUAUGGCCUUGUGCGUUAAGGGAGGAACCCCCCCCCUAACCCGAAGCGCGUAAGAGAGGAUUUAAGCUAUGGCCUUAUGCGCUGAGGGCGGGGGGAUCGACUGAAUGCAUAAGGAGGGUUCUAUGACCUAUGCACGAUGUCAAAGAAUCAGUUAUAACCUUAGGGCGAGGCGCAGGUUGCCCUAAGGUAUAAGCGACGCGCCUGGAUGCUGGGAAGGUCUAUAGGUGAAAAGGGGGUUUUUUUGGCAGCCCUAAGUAACCUUAAACGGCAGUGGUACCAAUCGUAUCCCGGUAACACCGGGACGAAGACUCCUCCUCAAGAGCGUAAUGAAAAAGGCCUUGGGGGAAUGGGGGGGUAGCAAUCCACUAGCGCGGGACCCAUCAGCAGGCAACGAGGCACCCCAAAAGGCAAAGGAUACUGAGUAACCCCUGGGCAAGGGUAACCAGGCUCCGAACGCCAUAAUGGUAACGGGUGUUAAGUGCUUCAAGGACUGGUAAGGUGCGGGCUCCGUUUGACCUUGUCUACACUAAGGGGGGGAGGGAAACAAUGAUACCCCCUCCCUUAAGGCAAGGAUCUUCCUGGGCUUAAGGUACAGUCUCAAGCGGACCUCUAGUAACGGCUGGUAACCGUGAAAGGGGUCUCCUUACCUCACAAUCCCACGACUGCAGGGAAGGGGUAGGGGAGUCUUUUAUAAAGCCUUUCCCUUAAAGGAGGGGGGGGAAGGUAAGGCUUGCUCUCUAAAAAGCGUGGAGGAGUUCGACCCUACGCGAUUAACUCGGAACUGGCUUGUGGCCGCCAAGCGUUCAUAGCGACGUGGC
rnacentral:rRNA from 1 species